UACGGAGGUCCCGAGCGUUGUUCGGAAUCACUGGGCGUAAAGCGCGUGCAGGUGGUCUGAUAAGUUGGAUGUGAAAGCUCCUGGCUCAACUGGGGGAUGCCGUUCAAAACUAUCAGACUUGAGGACGGUAGAGGAAGGUGGAAUUCCCGGUGUAGUAGUGAAAUGCGUAGAUAUCGGGAGGAACACCAGUGGCGAAGGCGGCCUUCUGGACCGUUUCUGACACUGAGACGCGAAAGCUAGGGUAGCGAAUGGG
rnacentral:misc_RNA from 1 species